rnacentral:rRNA from 1 species
UACGAAGGGGGCUAGCGUUGUUCGGAUUUACUGGGCGUAAAGCGUACGUAGGCGGUUUGUUAAGUCGGGGGUGAAAUCCUGGAGCUCAACUCCAGAAUUGCCUUCGAUACUGGCUUUCUAGAGGCUGGAAGAGGUUAGUGGAAUUCCCAGUGUAGAGGUGAAAUUCGUAGAUAUUGGGAAGAACACCAGUGGCGAAGGCGGCUAACUGGUCCAGAUCUGACGCUGAGGUGCGAAAGCGUGGGGAGCAAACAGG